AAGGGCACCACAAGAACGCGUGGAGCAUGUGGCUUAAUUUGACUCAACGCGGGAAAUCUUACCGGGUCCGGACACACUGAGGAUUGACAGGCAAUAUUAAUUUCGAAUUUCGGUUCGUUAUUAUGUUAAAUAUGCUAGUCCUUUCAUGAUUAUGUGAUAGGUGGUGCAUGGCCGUUCUUAGUUCGUGGAGUGAUCUGUCUGCUUAAUUGCGUUUCACUAAGGGCCUAUAAAUUUACGUGUGUUGCGGCACUUUGACCCCUCUUAUUUAUUUAAGAGCGCGCGUCUUAGUUUGCUUAGCUCACACAAUUAGGUCCUGAAAGCAACGAACGUGACCGCAACCUCUUGUUGCCUUUAUACCAAACAUGUUAUGGAUUUAUUCAUUUCAUGAAAAAAGGCUUUUUAAACUAGAGGGACCGCUGUUACUUUCUUAAACCAGAGGAAGGUUGCGGCAAUAACAGGUCUGUGAUGCCCUUAGAUGUUCCGGGCUGCACACGUGCUACAAUGAUUAUUGCAGUGAGCAUCUCAUUUUUUACACACCGCAUACGCGAGUCCAUUUAUUUCAUCUUUCGGGGUGCUUUUAAAUGUGUAUCUCUGCGAGCGGUAAAGCCUGCUUCGAAAGUAAGUGGGUAAUCAAUUAGAAGUAAUGAUUUCCUUUUUUUAGCACACAUAUAUACGGCGUUUAUACCCGGGCUGCCUUGUUGUAGCUUUUGUGCGUAUAGAUGUUUUUUCCGUAUGUGCGAUUGUCAAUUCAUGGUGGGGACAGACCAUUGUUAAUUGUUGGUCUCGGUCUUAACUAGGAAUGCCUUGUACGGGUCUUUGGUUCAACAAACCACCCGGAAUACGUCCCUGCCCUUUGUACACACCGCCCGUCGCUCUUACCGAUGGACUUCUCUGUGAGUUUGAGGGACUGGGAACGCAUGAUUUAUCACGCACACCUAUGGAAACUUAAACGAACAGUGUGGUCUAAAGGAAAGAGAAGUCGUAACAAGGCAUCGGUAGGUGAACCUGCAGAAGGAUCA
rnacentral:rRNA from 1 species